rnacentral:rRNA from 1 species
AUUGAACGCUGGCGGAAUGCUUUACACAUGCAAGUCGAGCGGCAGCACGGGGGCAACCCUGGUGGCGAGCGGCGAACGGGUGAGUAAUACAUCGGAACAUGCCCAGUCGUGGGGGAUAACACUUCGAAAGAAGUGCUAAUACCGCAUACGUCCUGAGGGGGAAAGCGGGGGAUCGCAAGACCUCGCGCGAUUGGAGUGGCCGAUGUCAGAUUAGCUAGUUGGUGGGGUAAAGGCCUACCAAGGCAACGAUCUGUAGCUGGUCUGAGAGGAUGAUCAGCCACACUGGGACUGAGACACGGCCCAGACUCCUACGGGAGGCAGCAGUGGGGAAUUUUGGACAAUGGGGGCAACCCUGAUCCAGCCAUUCCGCGUGAGUGAAGAAGGCCUUCGGGUUGUAAAGCUCUUUCGGCAGGAACGAAACGGUGAGCUCUAACAUAGCUUGCUAAGGACGGUACCUGAAGAAGAAGCACCGGCUAACUACGUG